GAUGAAUAGAUGCUGGCAGCAGCAGCAGUAGGGGACGUCAGGCUGAAUUCCAAACCUCCAGUUGGCUCGGCUUCUCCCAGACUAUUGGAGGAAUGAAGGCUGCAGUGAGAGAAGACCUUCGCUCCGGAUCUUGCGGCAAGAGAUGGACCAAGGUUCGGCAUCCCUUCAGAAAUUGGGAGUGCCCCCUCCAGCCGAGGGUCCAGGAGAUGAGGAGAAGCACCAGAGCAGCAAGGAGGAGGCUUGACUGUCCCGACCACCCCGGCACCCACCAAAGCGGAACCUGAACCGAGCCGGCCAGGGAGAUCAGGGCGGCCGCCGUGACUAGCA